UUGGCACAAGCAUUAUGUUUAUGGGAUCUUUUACUUGGGGUAAGUCUUUUGCCUCCACUCGAAGUAGUAAGUCCACACAUGGACUUACCCUAAGAGCAGUGUGUCUACUCCUGGUGUCUUAUGUCUUGCUUGUGCUGCAAUUCAGUGAACGAGAGGAAUAGCUGCUGCAGAAGCACGGAGUGUUACUUAAGGGCGAGGGGAGGGGUAUUGCUCAGCCUGUGAUCUUGUGCGAGAUCUUGUGGUCUUGCAGAACAGUGGCAGUAGGAACGCCUCUCUUGACCGAUAUGUGCAAAGUGACUCAAACCUCGCUGGCUGCCACUUGAACACAGGUUAUAAACGUUUGACUGAUAACAAAACUGAAAAGGAAGCAAUCCCCUGUUACUUUUAUUGAAGAAAGCCAGGGGAAGGAGUUUAAGGCCGCCGGGAACUAAAAAUAAAUGGGAGGCUGCUUCUAUGAGCAGCAGAAAGAUACUUGGAAAAAAACACCACAGAAGAAAACACUUUCUGGAACUCAACACUUUCUGUCCGUUAUCUGGCUUCGAGCCCAGAUGCAGCUGUGUUUUUCUCUGUCUUGUUUCAUUUUCCCCUGAGACAGAGAGGCACCAGCAGUGCCAAAUAAUUUACGAGCUGGGACAUUUUCUGCAGCCUGUGGGACUGAACGAAGUUUGGAGUGAAUAG
rnacentral:lncRNA from 1 species